GGACCCGCACAAGUAGUGGAGCAUGUGGUUUAAUUCGAUGAUACGCGAGGAACCUUACCUGGGCUCGAAUGGAUUUGGACCGUUCCUGAAAGGGAACUUCUCUUCGGAGCUGAAUUCAAGGUGCUGCAUGGUUGUCGUCAGCUCGUGCCGUGAGGUGUUGGGUUAAGUCCCGCAACGAGCGCAACCCCUAUUCUUAGUUACCAGCACGUAAUGGUGGGGACUCUAGGAAGACUGCCGGCGUAAGCCGCGAGGAAGGUGGGGAUGACGUCAAAUCAUCAUGGCCUUUAUGCCCAGGGCUACACACGUGCUACAAUGGAGGGUACAGAGGGUAGCGAAGCCGCGAGGUGGAGCCAAUCUCACAAAGCCCUUCCCAGUUCGGAUUGGAGUCUGCAACUCGACUCCAUGAAGUUGGAAUCGCUAGUAAUCGC
rnacentral:rRNA from 1 species